rnacentral:rRNA from 1 species
CCUACGGGUGGCAGCAGUGAGGAAUAUUGGUCAAUGGUCGGGAGACUGAACCAGCCAAGCCGCGUGAGGGAGGAAGGUACAGAGUAUCGUAAACCUCUUUUGUCAGGGAACAAAGGCGGGGACGUGUCCCCGGAUGAGUGUACCUGAAGAAAAAGCAUCGGCUAACUCCGUCCCAGCAGCCGCGGUAAUACGGAGGAUGCGAGCGUUAUCCGGAUUUAUGGGGUUUAAAGGGUGCGCAGGCGGUCUGUUAAGUCAGCGGUCAAAGCCCGGGGCUCAACCCCGGCCCGCCGUUGAAACUGGCAGUCUCGAGUUGGAGAGAAGUAUGCGGAAUGCGCGGUGUAGCGGUGAAAUGCAUAGAUAUCGCGCAGAACUCCGAUUGCGAAGGCAGCAUGCCGGCUCCACACUGACGCUGAGGCACGAAAGCGUGGGUAUUGAACAGGAUUAGAUACCCUUGUAGUC